AUUGAACGCUGGCGGCAUGCUUUACACAUGCAAGUCGAACGGUAACAGGCCGCAAGGUGCUGACGAGUGGCGAACGGGUGAGUAAUGCAUCGGAACGUGCCCAGUCGUGGGGGAUAACGCAGCGAAAGCUGUGCUAAUAUCGCAUAUGAUCUAUGGAUGAAAGCGGGGGACCGUAAGGCCUCGCGCGAUUGGAGCGGACGAUGUCAGAUUAGGUCGUAGGUGGGGUAAAGGCCAACCAAGCCAACGAGCUGUAGCUGGUCUGAGAGGACGACCAGCCACACUGAGACUGAGACACGGCCCAGACUCAUACGGGAGGCAGCAGUGGGGAAUUUUGGACAAUGGGCGCAAGCCUGAUCCAGCAAUGCCGCGUGCAGGAAGAAGGCCUUCGGGUUGUAAACUGCUUUUGUACGGAACGAAACGGUCUGGGUUAAUACCCUGGGCUAAUGACGGUACCGUAAGAAUAAGCACCGGCUAACUACGUGCCAGCAGCCGCGGUAAAAC
rnacentral:rRNA from 1 species